rnacentral:rRNA from 1 species
UACAGAGGUUCCAAGCGUUGUUCGGAUUCACUGGGCGUAAAGGGUGCGUAGGCGGUCGGGUAAGUCUGAUGUGAAAUCUCACAGCUUAACUGUGAAACUGCAUUGGAUACUAUUCGGCUUGAGAGUUGGAGGGGGGACUGGAAUUCCUGGUGUAGCAGUGAAAUGCGUAGAUAUCAAGAGGAACACCAGUGGCGAAGGCGAGUCCCUGGACAACUUCUGACGCUGAGGCACGAAAGCUAGGGGAGCAAACAGG